rnacentral:rRNA from 1 species
GAUGAACGCUGGCGGCAUGCCUAAUACAUGCAAGUCGAGCGAACAGACGAGGAGCUUUCUCCUCUGACGUUAGCGGCGGACGGGUGAGUAACACGUGGAUAACCUAUCUAUAAGACUGGGAUAACUUCGGGAAACCGGAGCUAAUACCGGAUAAUAUAUUGAACCGCAUGUAUCAAUAGUGAAAGACGGUUUUGCUGUCACUUAUAGAUGGAUCCGCGCCGCAUUAGCUAGUUGGUAAGGUAACGGCUUACCAAGGCGACGAUGCGUAGCUGAACUGACAGGGUGAUCGGCGACACUAGAACUGAUAUACGGUCCAGACUCCUACGGUAGGCAGCAGUAGGGAAUGUUCUGCAGUGCGCGAAAGCCUGACGUAGCAACGCCGCGUGAGGGAUGAGGAGCUUCGGAUCGGAAAACUAUGUUACUAGGGAAGAACAAAUGUGUAAGUGACGCUGCACGUCAUGACGGUACUUAAUCAGAAAGCCACGGCUAACUACGUG